AUGAGUGGAAUCACGUACCGAUACUUGAUAUCACCGGCAGUGCAAAUGAAUUUGUAUAUCCAAUUGAUGGAUGUGGUGACUGCAUAUUUAUAUGGGUCACUUAAGACGGAUAUCUACAUGAAAGUUCCCGGGGGACUGAAGAUUCCAGAUCCGAAAGCUAAUCGCAACAUGUAUUGCGUAAAGCUACUGAAGUCGUUAUACGGCUUGAGACAGUCGGGCAGAAUGUGGUAUAACCGACUAAGUGAGUUCCUUUUGAAGAAGGGUUACUCAAACAACAAUGAUUGCCCAUGUGUGUUCAUCAAGAAAUUCACUUAUGGAUUUUGCAUAAUUUUCGUGUAUGUUGAUGACUUGAACAUCAUUGGGACUACACGAGAAAUACAUGAGGCGUCUAAUCAUUUAAAGACGGAAUUCGAGAUGAAAGAUUUGGGUAAAACCAAAUUUUGUCUUGGUUUGCAACUUGAACAUUUUUCUUCAGGAAUACUUGUUCAUCAGUCUGCUUAUAUCCAAAAGAUAUUGGAAAAGUUCAAUAUGGAUAAAGCAUACCCGUCACAAACACCUAUGGUCGUCAGAUCUCUUGAAAAAGAUAAAGACCCAUUUAGACCUAAGGGUGAUGACGAAGAGGUAUUAGGACCUGAGUUUCCUUACCUCAGUGCUAUUGGAGCACUAAUGUAUCUAGCGAACUGCACCGGGCCUGACAUAGCAUUUGCAGUUAAUUUACUGGCUAGAUACAGCGCAUCACCAACGAAACGGUAUUGGGUUGGUGUGAAGAAUAUUUUCAGAUAUCUUCAGGGCACCAAAGAUCUUGGUUUAUUCUAUCAAAAAAAUCAAAAGAUAACCAUGGUGGGGUAUAGCGAUGAUGGAUACUUGUCAGAUCCCCAUGAUGCCAGAUCGCAGACUGGUUUUGUCUUCUUACAUGGAGGUGGGGCCUUCUCUUGA
rnacentral:rRNA from 1 species